rnacentral:rRNA from 1 species
GUGCCAGCCGCCGCGGUAAUACCGGCAGCCCGAGUGAUGGCCGAUCUUAUUGGGCCUAAAGCGUCCGUAGCUGGCCGCGCAAGUCCAUCGGGAAAUCCACCCGCCCAACGGGUGGCCGUCCGGUGGAAACUGCACGGCUUGGGACCGGAAGGCGCGACGGGUACGUCCAGGGUAGGAGUGAAAUCCCGUAAUCCUGGACGGACCGCCGAUGGCGAAAGCACGUCGCGAGAACGGAUCCGACAGUGAGGGACGAAAGCUAGGGUCUCGAACCGGAUUAGAUACCCGGGUAGUCC